rnacentral:SRP_RNA from 2 species
GCCAGGCGUGGUUGCUCACGCCUGUAGUCCCAGCUACUUGGGAGGCUGAGGUGGGAGGAUCACUUGAGCCCAGGAAGUCGAGGCUGCAGUGAGCCAUGAUCGUGCCACUGCACUCCAGCCUGGGCACCAAGAGUGAGACCUUGUUUCAA